rnacentral:lncRNA from 1 species
AAGGUUUCAAGGCGACUGUCUCAGAUCUCUGGAAGUUGGUCUGCCCUAAGGCUGGUUUUUCUGCAAGCAAGGAAAGAAGGCUUCAGGGCGACUGUCUCAGAUCUUGGAGGACUCCCUGCAGUCAGCCAGCUGUUUGUCUUAACACUGCUUGAACACAGAAGAGAGGGGAGAACUGCACCACAUCUGUGAAGAUCACCUGCAGUGGCCGCUUGGUGGUGCUGAGGUUGCCGCUGACCAGUGCAAUCAACAGGUCUGCACCCACCUAGGACCUGUUCGUCGUCCUCCAGCUUGAUUUCACCUCUUCUGCACUGUAUCUGUGUUAUUGACUGAGACUGCUUGGGUAGGAGUCUCACUGGUGCCGGAUUGGUUGGUCAUUUACCCCUGUUCUUCACUAUAUCUCUUGAGUAAUCAAAAGAUCAGAGUGGGAAGAUAUAAUACUGUGACAGAUCUGUUGUUGAGACUGAGGCUUUGGUAGGCAUUCCUAAUUGAACCUU